rnacentral:rRNA from 1 species
UACGUAGGGUGCAAGCGUUGUCCGGAAUUAUUGGGCGUAAAGAGCUCGUAGGCGGUCUGUCGCGUCUGCUGUGAAAACUCAGGGCUUAACCCUGAGCUUGCAGUGGGUACGGGCAGACUUGAGUGUGGUAGAGGCAAUCGGAAUUCCAGGUGUAGCGGUGAAAUGCGUAGAUAUCUGGAAGAACACCGGUGGCGCAAGCGGAUUGCGUGGGCCAUAACUGACACUGAGGAACGAAAGCUA